GGGCCUCUAGCCUAGUGGUUAGAGCACCUGAGUAGCAUCUAGCAGACCUGGGUUCAACUCCCCGUGGGAGCG